rnacentral:rRNA from 1 species
CGUGGCGGACGGGUGAGUAACGCGUGGGUAACCUGCCUCAUACAGGGGGAUAACGGUUAGAAAUGACUGCUAAUACCGCAUAAGCACACAGUACCGCAUGGUACGGUGUGAAAAACUCCGGUGGUAUGAGAUGGACCCGCGUUUGAUUAGCUAGUUGGUGAGGUAACGGCCCACCAAGGCGACGAUCAGUAGCCGACCUGAGAGGGUGACCGGCCACAUUGGGACUGAGACACGGCCCAG